rnacentral:rRNA from 1 species
UACGGCAGGGGCUAGCGUUGAUCGGAAUUACUCGGCGUAAAGAGCGCGUAGGCGGCUUACCAAGUUGGGGGUGAAAUCCCGGAGCUCAACUCCGGAACUGCCUUCAAAACUGGUAGGCUCGAGUCCGGAAGAGGGGCGUGGAAUUCCCAGUGUAGAGGUGAAAUUCGUAGAUAUUGGGAAGAACACCGGUGGCGAAGGCGGCGCCCUGGUCCGGUACUGACGAUGAGGCGCGAAAGCGUGGGGAGCAACCAGG